GUGUCAGCCGCCGCGGUAAUACGAAGGGGGCAAGCGUUGUUCGGAAUUACUGGGCGUAAAGGGCGCGUAGGCGGCUUAUCAAGUCAGGCGUGAAAUUCCCGGGCUCAACCUGGGGGCUGCGCUUGAUACUGAUGAGCUUGAAUGCGGGAGAGGAUAGUGGAAUUCCCAGUGUAGAGGUGAAAUUCGUAGAUAUUGGGAAGAACACCGGUGGCGAAGGCGGCUAUCUGGCCCGUAAUUGACGCUGAGGCGCGAAAGCGUGGGGAGCAAACAGGAUUAGAAACCCCCGUAGUCC
rnacentral:rRNA from 1 species